rnacentral:rRNA from 1 species
UGGCAAGUCGACCAAAGGCGAAAGCAGUCAUCAAGGGCAUGCCCAAUGAUCAAGAGCGAAAGUCAAGGGCUCGAAGACGAUCAGAUACCGUCGUAGUCUUGACUAUAAACGAUACAAACCAGGGAUAGGACUCUGUCCAUCUCGACUCCUUCUGGACCCACGAGAAAUCUCAAGUAUCUGGGUUCCGGGGGGAGUAUGGUUGCAAGGCUGAAACUUAAAGGAAUUGACGGAAGGGCACACAAAGAGUGGAACCUGCGGCUUAAUUUGACUCAACACGGGAAAACUCACCAGGUCAGGAUACAUGGAUGACAUCCAAGUUGAUAGACUUUGGUUAAUGAUGUAAGUGGUGGUGCAUGGCCGUUCGUAGUUCGUGGAUUGAUUCGUCUGGUCUAUUCCGAUAACGAGCGAGACCCUACUGUUCUUAGUACGGGGCACCGGCCAUUCCACGGUGGGCUGGGGGGCGGGCAGGAAGCCGCAAGGCGGAAUGCUCGUCUCACUCCCCCUGGUUAGCCGGGGCUUACCCAAUACAAUACUUCUUAGACAGAUCCUGGCCGACAAGGCCUAAUAAAUGGGUUAAUAACAGGUCAGUCAUGCCCUUAGAUGUUCUGGGCCGCACGCGCGUUACACUGGCAGAAACCAGCGAGUGCUUCCUCCGAAGCCCUGCCGGGCCCGAAAGGGCCCUGGCAAUCAGUAGGAGUUGCCUUGUCUGGGCCAGACUAUUGAUACUAUUGGUCUCUAACGAGGAAUUUUUGAG